rnacentral:lncRNA from 1 species
GGUUAACAGGAGCAUCUUCAAAGGCUGCCUUGGGAAUUAAGACAGCUCACCCCUCCAUGCCCAGCACAGUGGCUGCUGCUCUCAAUGAACACACAAUUCCUCUGUCAGAUAUUUUCUUUUCAGAUUCCAGUUUGAAUUCAACAGAAGUAAUACUUUCUACCUCUUCGACCACACUGAUAUUACCGUUACAUAUCCUGGGGAAAGUGAAACAAAUUGGGCUAUUGCAAGUUUGGUUACUGCUUGACUUGAUCUCAAAAGAAGGUGUGAAAAAAGGAUCUACGAUGAGUUGCUUUUGA